rnacentral:rRNA from 1 species
GAUGAACGCUAGCGGCAGGCAUAAUACAUGCAAGUUGAACGGGAUUCAGAUAGCAAUAUUUGAUGAGAGUGGCGCACGGGUGCGUAACACGUAUGCAACUUACCUUAAACUGGGGGAUAGCCCGUGGAAACAUGGAUUAAUACCCCAUAGUAUAUUUGAUAGGCAUCUAUUGAAUAUUAGAGCUCCGGCGGUUUAAGAUGGGCAUGCGCGUCAUUAGCUAGAUGGGGAGGUAACGGCUCACCAUGGCAACGAUGACUAGGGGGUCUGAGAGGAUUUCCCCCCACACUGGUACUGAGACACGGACCAGACUCCUACGGGAGGCAGCAGUAGGGAAUAUUGGGCAAUGGACGCAAGUCUGACCCAGCCAUGCCGCGUGCAGGAAGACUGCCCUAUGGGUUGUAAACUGCUUUUAUCAGGGAAGAAACCCUUCUACGUGUAGAAGGCUGACGGUACCUGAGGAAUAAGGAACGGCUAACUCCGUGCCAGCCGCCGCCGUAAAAC